GACGAACGCUGGCGGCGUGCUUAACACAUGCAAGUCGAACGGAAAGGCCCUGCUUUUGUGGGGUGCUCGAGUUGCGACCGGGUGAGUAACCCGUGAGUAACCUGCACUUGACUUUGGGAUAACUUAAGGAAACUGGGGCUCAUACCGGGUAGGAGCUCCUGCUGCAUGGUGGGGGUUGGAAAGUUUCGGCGGUUGGGGAUGGACUCGCGGCUUAUCAGCUUGGUGGUGGGGUAGUGGCUUACCAAGGCUGUGACGGGUAGCCGGCCUGAGAGGGUGACCGGCCACAUUGGGACUGAGAUACGGCCCAGACUCCUACGGGAGGCAGCAGUGGGGAAUAUUGCACAAUGGGCGGAAGCCUGAUGCAGCAACGCCGCGUGCGGGAUGACGGCCUUCGGGUUGUAAACCGCUUUCGCCUGUGACGAAGCGUGAGUGACGGUAAUGGGUAAAGAAGCACCGGCUAACUACGUG
rnacentral:rRNA from 1 species